rnacentral:misc_RNA from 1 species
UUUCCGUAGGUGAACCUGCGGAAGGAUCAUUACAGAGUUCAUGCCCUCACGGGUAGAUCUCCCACCCUUGAAUAUUUAUACCUUAGUUGCUUUGGCAGGCCGUGGAAACACCAUGGGCUCCGGCUUAUGCGUGCCUGCCAGAGGAAACAAACUCUGUUUCUAGUGAUGUCUGAGUACUAUAUAAUAGUUAAAACUUUCAACAACGGAUCUCUUGGUUCUG